rnacentral:rRNA from 1 species
UACGAAGGGGGCUAGCGUUGUUCGGAAUCACUGGGCGUAAAGGGUGCGUAGGCGGGUCUUUAAGUCAGGGGUGAAAUCCUGGAGCUCAACUCCAGAACUGCCUUUGAUACUGAGGGUCUUGAGUUCGGGAGAGGUGAGUGGAACUGCGAGUGUAGAGGUGAAAUUCGUAGAUAUUCGCAAGAACACCAGUGGCGAAGGCGGCUCACUGGCCCGAUACUGACGCUGAGGCACGAAAGCGUGGGGAGCAAACAGG